rfam:Ruminococcus sp. CAG:403 genomic scaffold, scf89
UCCAGAGUAGAAAUCGAUGCGUUAAGUGUCCGGCAGACGGGGAGUUGCUGCUGGGACGAAAAGACAAAUCCUGCAAAAGCAGGAUUUGAACUUGCGGUAUCGGUUUCGCAUCCCGCUGAA